rnacentral:rRNA from 1 species
UGAGGAAUAUUGGACAAUGGGCGCAAGCCUGAUCCAGCCAUGCCGCGUGCAGGAUGACGGUCCUAUGGAUUGUAAACUGCUUUUAUACAGGAAGAAACACUCGGACGAGUCCGAACUUGACGGUACUGUAAGAAUAAGGAUCGGCUAACUCCGUG